UACUUCGGGUCCUCCUUGUAGUAACUUGGAGCUGCUGUAGUUGUGGUGUAGUAAUACUCGGGAGCCUUGGUGGUGUACUUAGGUGGAUCAGCAGUGGUGUAGUAUUUUG